UACGAGGGGUGCAAGCGUUGCUCGGAAUUAUUGGGCGUAAAGGGCUCGUAGGCGGUUUGUCGCGUCGGGAGUGAAAACCAGGUGCUUAACACCUGGCUUGCUUUCGAUACGGGCAGACUAGAGGUAUGCAGGGGAGAACGGAAUUCCUGGUGUAGCGGUGAAAUGCGCAGAUAUCAGGAGGAACACCGGUGGCGGAGGCGGUUCUCUGGGCAUGACCUGACGCUGAGGAGCGAAAGUGUGGGGAGCGAACAGG
rnacentral:rRNA from 1 species